AGUUUGAAGAGUAGGUAAAUCCGCUCUUUGUAAGAACAAGUUGUGAUGGGGAGCGAAAUUUAGUAGCGAAGCAGCUGAUAUCACACUGUCAAGAAAAGUUUCUAUCGAGGGAGCAGGUGCCUGUACCGUAAACCGACACAGGUAGGAGAGUAGAGAAUACUAAGGCGAGCGAGAAAACUAUUGUUAAGGAACUCGGCAAAAUGACCCCGUAACUUCGGGAGAAGGGGUGCCUCACUAGGUUCAGAGCUAAGUGAGGCCGCAGAGGAUAGGUCCAAGCGACUGUUUACCAAAAACACAGGUCUCUGCUAAAUCGAAAGAUGAUGUAUAGGGGCUGACGCCUGCCCGGUGCUGGAAGGUUAAGGGGAAGUGUAAGAGCAAUCGAAGCACAGAACUGAAGCCCCAGUAAACGGCGGCCGUAACUAUAACGGUCCUAAGGUAGCGAAAUUCCUUGUCGGGUAAGUUCCGACCCGCACGAAAGGCGUAACGAUUUGGACGCUGUCUCAACAAUAGACUCGGUGAAAUUGUAGUACCGGUAAAGAUGCCGGUUACCCGCAGCAAGACGGAAAGACCCCGUGGAGCUUUACUGCAGCUUGGCACUGGAUAAUGGUAUAUCAUGUACAGGAUAGGUGGGAGACAGAGAAGUGAGGACGCCAGUCUUCAUGGAGUCGCUGUUGGGAUACCACUCUUGGUAUAACGUUAUUCUAACUAUGAUGAGUAAUCCUGAUCUAGGACAAUGUCAGGUGGGCAGUUUGACUGGGGCGGUCGCCUCCUAAAGAGUAACGGAGGCGCCUAAAGGUUCCCUCAGCGCGGUUGGAAAUCGCGCGAAGAGUGUAAAGGCAAAAGGGAGCUUGACUGCGAGAGGGACACCUCGAGCAGGGACGAAAGUCGAGCUUAGUGAUCCGGUGGCACCGCAUGGAAGGGCCAUCGCUCAACGGAUAAAAGCUACCCCGGGGAUAACAGGCUUAUCUCCCCCAAGAGUCCACAUCGACGGGGAGGUUUGGCACCUCGAUGUCGGCUCGUCUCAUCCUGGGGCUGAAGUAGGUCCCAAGGGUUGGGCUGUUCGCCCAUUAAAGAGGCACGCGAGCUGGGUUCAGAACGUCGUGAGACAGUUCGGUCCCUAUCUGCUGUGGGCGUAGGAAAUUUGAGAGGAGCUGUCCUUAGUACGAGAGGACCGGGAUGGACAAACCUCUGGUGUAUCAGUUGUUCUGCCAAGAGCACUGCUGAGUAGCUACGUUUGGAAGGGAUAAGCGCUGAAGGCAUCUAAGCGCGAAGCCCCCCUCAAGAUGAGAUUUCCCAUCCUUAAUGGAGUAAGAUCCCAUGUAGAUAAUAUGGUAAUAGGCCUGAGGUGUAAGU
rnacentral:rRNA from 1 species